GAUGAACGCUGGCGGCGUGCCUAAUACAUGCAAGUCGAGCGAACGGACGAGAAGCUUGCUUCUCUGAUGUUAGCGGCGGACGGGUGAGUAACACGUGGAUAACCUACCUAUAAGACUGGAAAACCUCAGGAAACUGGGGCUAAUAACGGAUAGGAGUUCCUGAUGCCAGGUGGGGGAUGGAAAGUAUGGGCGGUCGGGGCUGGACGGGCGGCUUAUCAGCUUGUUGGUGGGGUAGUGGGUUACCAACGCUUCGACGGGUAGCCGGCCUGCGAGGGUGACCGGCCACAUUGGGACUGAGGUACGGACCAGACUCCUACGGGCGGCAGCAGGCGGGAGUAUUGCGCAAUGGGCGGGAGCGAGAUGCAGCAACGCCGGGUGCGGGAUGACGGCCUUCGGGUUGUGAACCUCUUUCUCCUGUGACGAAGCGAGAGUGACGGUAAUGGAUAAGAAAGCACCGGCUAACUACGUG
rnacentral:rRNA from 1 species